rnacentral:rRNA from 1 species
GACGAACGCUGGCGGCGCGCCUAACACAUGCAAGUCGAACGAGCGAUAGAGAGCUUGCUUUCUCGAGCGAGUGGCGAACGGGUGAGUAACGCGUGAGGAACCUGCCUCAAAGAGGGGGACAACAGUUGGAAACGACUGCUAAUACCGCAUAAGCCCACGGCUCGGCAUCGAGCAUGGGGAAAAGGAGCAAUCCGCUUUGAGAUGGCCUCGCGUCCGAUUAGCUAGUUGGUGAGGUAACGGCCCACCAAGGCAACGAUCGGUAGCCGGACUGAGAGGUUGAACGGCCACAUUGGGACUGAGACACGGCCCAGACUCCUACGGGAGGCAGCAGUGGGGAAUAUUGCACAAUGGGGAAACCCUGAUGCAGCGACGCCGCGUGGAGGAAGAAGGUCUUCGGAUUGUAAACUCCUGUUGUUGGGGAAGAUAAUGACGGUACCCAACAAGGAAGUGACGGCUAACUACGUG